CACACUGUAAACGAUGAUAACUCGCUGCCGGCGAUACAUUGUCGGUGGCCAAGCGAAAGCAUUAAGUUAUCCACCUGGGGAGUACGACCGCAAGGUUGAAACUCAAAGGAAUUGACGGGGGCCCGCACAAGCGGAGGAACAUGUGGUUUAAUUCGAUGAUACGCGAGGAACCUUACCCGGGCUCGAACGGUGCAUGCAUAUAUGAGAGAUCGUAUAGUCUUCGGACAUGCAUCGAGGUGC
rnacentral:rRNA from 1 species